rnacentral:rRNA from 1 species
UACGGGGGGGGCAAGCGUUGUUCGGAAUUACUGGGCGUAAAGGGCUCGUAGGCGGCCAACUAAGUCGGAUGUGAAAUCCCCAGGCUUAACCUGGGAACUGCAUCCGAUACUGGAUGGCUUGAAUCCGGGAGAGGGAUGCAGAAUUCCAGGUGUAGCGGUGAAAUGCGUAGAUAUCGCUUGGAACGCCAAAGGUGAAAACAGGUUGCUGGGGUUGUGCCGACGCUGAGACACGAAAGCCAGGGGAGCAAACGGG